rnacentral:rRNA from 1 species
AGAGAGAGACAUGCGCGCAUAUCAAUAAGCGGAGGAAAAGAAACUAACAAGGAUUCCCCUAGUAACGGCGAGUGAAGCGGGAAGAGCUCAAAUUUGAAAUCUUAAAGGGUUUCCCUUUACGAAUUGUAGUUUAAAGAAGUGUUUUCUGUUGAGGUUUUGGUAAAAGUUCUUUGGAAUAGGACAUCAUAGAGGGUGAGAAUCCCGUAUUUGACCUUUACUUUCAACUUUGUGAUACACUUUCAAAGAGUCGGAUUGUUUGGGAAUGCAGUCCAAAAUGGGUGGUAAAUUUCAUCUAAAGCUAAAUACUGGCGAGAGACCGAUAGCGAACAAGUACCGUGAGGGAAAGAUGAAAAGAACUUUGAAAAGAGAGUUAAACAGUACGUGAAAUUGUCAAAAGGGAAGCGUUUGACACCAGUGUUGUUUUUCUGAAAAUCAAUUAAAGAACUGUUUAUGCUAAGUUGUUUAGACUUUAUCAGCUAAUCUGUUUAGUUUUGAGCUUUUCUUUAAUGCACUUUUCAGUUAACAAGUCAACAUCAAUUUCUUUUGCUGUAAAAAAGCUUGAGGAAGGUGGCUUGAGAUUCGUCUUAAGUGUUUAUAGCCUCUUGCCUAUGCAGUCGGAGAGAUUGAGGUCUGCAGCGUAGAUCCUUCGGGGCUAAAUGCAUUUGUGCUAAGUUAUAACAUUUUAUAGACAACUUGUUGACUAUGAUUUGUCUUGUAGCUUACUCGCUUAUGUUAUUUUACCUACGCUUAGGAUGUUGAAGACUCUACAGAGAUA